rnacentral:rRNA from 1 species
UCAACGGAUAAAAGGUACUCCGGGGAUAACAGGCUGAUACCGCCCAAGAGUUCAUAUCGACGGCGGUGUUUGGCACCUCGAUGUCGGCUCAUCACAUCCUGGGGCUGAAGUAGGUCCCAAGGGUAUGGCUGUUCGCCAUUUAAAGUGGUACGCGAGCUGGGUUUAGAACGUCGUGAGACAGUUCGGUCCCUAUCUGCCGUGGGCGCUGGAGAACUGAGGGGGGCUGCUCCUAGUACGAGAGGACCGGAGUGGACGCAUCACUGGUGUUCGGGUUGUCAUGCCAAUGGCACUGCCCGGUAGCUAAAUGCGGAAGAGAUAAGUGCUGAAAGCAUCUAAGCACGAAACUUGCCCCGAGAUGAGUUCUC